CCACUCUUCUCCUGUCAUUAUGUGCUGAUGUAGGCAGGCUAUAAAUUCUAUGUAGUUCCACCUCUCGCCCUCUUCUCUUCCUGUGGUGGCAGCUGUGGACAUGGGGUUUGGGAGCAGAUAGAAAAGCUUAGGCACAUGGUUUUAUUUUGUUAGAUAAUUACUUUUUUAUUCCUUUACUUCAAAUGUGGGAUUUGGGGGAAGGAAUUGUCAUGGGCUUUCAUCUGGCUGUUCAGUGACCUAGGAGAUAAAGAGCUGGGGCCUGAGUUGAAAUCCAAUCCCAGAUACUUACCAGCCACUCCAAACUUCAGACUCCACCACCCUGAUCAGUCAGCACCCAACAGCAAAGAGGCAAGAUCCAACACCAGCAAAAAGAUUAAGAUUUGCUGAAUGUUCAGAAUACGAUCCUGAUCAGAGCUCCAGGCUCCAAGAAGAGACAAGCAGCAGCAGAGUUAAAAAUGUCCUGUCUUUCCACACCACAUCUUCCUACACUGAUGGGGCAGCUUACAUGAUGAGUCUGUCUUCCCUGAGGACUCACAGGACUUAA
rnacentral:lncRNA from 1 species